rnacentral:misc_RNA from 1 species
AAGUCGUAACAAGGUUUCCGUAGGUGAACCUGCGGAAGGAUCAUUAACACGUAUCCACGUACCCACCCACGUGCACCCGUUGUCCCUCCCUCGUACGCGGCAAGAAUCGUAAGGGCCCGAUCGGAUAGAGUAAUGGCUGGCCUCUCGAGGCCGGCCGCCGGUUGCGCCCCCACAGCUGCAUGCUUCACGGCGUGCAGCGAAGAUUGUAGUCGACGCGAGGCUUUUCUAUCUGGCGCUGUGCGACCCAACGCUCUGGUCGUGCCGCUGGAUUCAUACUAACAUUUUUCACAUCGAUAACUAGUUGACUAUUUUAUUGUUGGCCUCGGAGGCGUCAGCCGAUGGGGUCACACGUUUAUCUAUAUGAACGCAAAUACAACUCUAAGCUAUGGACCUCUAGGUUCUC